UUCGGGUGGAGCGGCGGACGGGUUAGUAACGCGUGGGAACAUACCCUUUUCUAAGGAAUAGCCACUGGAAACGGUGAGUAAUACCUUAUACGCCCUUCGGGGGAAAGAUUUAUCGGAGAAGGAUUGGCCCGCGUUAGAUUAGAUAGUUGGUGGGGUAACGGCCUACCAAGUCUACGAUCUAUAGCUGGUUUGAGAGGAUGAUCAGCAACACUGGGACUGAGACACGGCCCAGACUCCUACGGGAGGCAGCAGUGGGGAAUCUUAGACAAUGGGCGCAAGCCUGAUCUAGCCAUGCCGCGUGAGUGAUGAAGGCCUUAGGGUCGUAAAGCUCUUUCGCCAGAGAUGAUAAUGACAGUAUCUGGUAAAGAAACCCCGGCUAACUCCGUGCCAGCAGCCGCGGUAAUACGGAGGGGGUUAGCGUUGUUCGGAAUUACUGGGCGUAAAGCGCACGUAGGCGGAUCAGUCAGUUAGAGGU
rnacentral:rRNA from 1 species